rnacentral:misc_RNA from 1 species
UGUCAGUAGCACUCUGGAGUGAACACAGUAUACGGCGUGCACCUCUCUGCCUUUUCUGUCUCUUCCCACUCUCUCACGACCCUACGCCAACGUACAGUUCGACUGUCUCUCAUCCAGCAACGCUGCCUCACCCUUCUGCCUGCCCCCCCCCCGUUUUUCACCGCUGUCCCACACCUCUCGCCUCACUCUCUUUCUCUCUGUCCAUCGCUGUAAUCACCCAAUCACACACACAUACACACAGCCUCUUCAUCACACUCACAGCCCGUACAGCACGUGCCUAGGUUCAUUUCUGUGUGUGCUUGUUCGCCACUCGCUUCAGCUCAACAGCUCACCCGAGACAUAGACGACGAGGAAGAACAAAGAAAGAGGAGAUUACCGUUAACUCUGAACUCACAGGUGUAUCCCGCGCACGCUCCGGCAAGUCGCAAAGGAUCAGGUCUCUCACUCGUGCACCUCUCUCCAGCACAUUCCAACAACCGCGAAAAAGUGUCUGCAUCACUCCUGAUGAGCGAGGAGGACAGGAUGCUCCACGUGGUCGUGCUCUCCGAUGACUCGAACGAGUCGUCUCCGUGCGACCAGCUGGAGCAGAGCUUUGCCUCCAUCGCGAGCUCUCUCGGCCCUCCGUGCACAGCACACUCUGACAGCUUCAGCUGCAAGGGAGGCGACGUGCUCUACGAGUUCGAUGAAGAGAACAGCGAGGAGAGCGAGGAGACACCGGCCGAGGCGGCGGAGAGGAUGCGCCAAGAGCGGCAUUACCGUCUUCGGUACGGCCCCAGCCGGGCAAACCGCAGCCACGACCGGCAGAGCAUUCUUUCGGCUCGCCAGAACCUACUGAACGAGUUCAUUCUUCGCGAAACCAAGGAGGCGACCGUAAGCCGCCAGGAUCACCACAUCAUGCUGCGCCAGCUGAUCAGCGCGGCAUACUUCCGAGACCCUAACCGCGUCUCCAACCGCCCCCUGUGGCGCCGCAUUAUGGCGGCUAUCGGAAAGGAGUACUACGGCUCGAAGGCGAUCUUCUCACUCUCCCCUGACCCGUACGAAAGCGUCGUGGCGAAGCUGUCAUCGAUGAUGCUCUGGGACGAUGAGAUCCGCCACUGGGCGUAUGGCUACUGCGACUCGGAGAUAACCCGCCGCCGCAACGCGCAGGUCGAGACGCUAAAGAAGCUGGAGGCGAGCGGAAGGCUCUUCUUGUAGACGGCAGACUACAACUCCGCCCCGGUCUCUGUUCUCCUCCCUUCUCUCUUGAGGCUUCAUGAACGAUUGCAGACAUGCUUGCGCAACGGCAAAAUCUCAAAUCGGACAUGCACGCACCCACCCACAUGCACGGACAGGUACACACACACACACGCACACAGUUCAUCCGCUGCGUCAAGCCGGUUGCAUGCGGAUGAGGCGCGGACGCGUAUAUGUGAGUGGCAGUGAAAGUGAGACGUAUCUGUGCGUUGUGAGCUGUGCGUUCUUUUUUGGGGUUUUGCAUGUGCAUGUGCGCAUGUUCGACGAUGCAAGGCGCAGCAGUCCACCCACGCGAAUUUAUGUGACCUUGGCACGCCGUGGUGACAUGGAGGGUGCACGUGUAUGCCAGUAGUCCAGUGCGGGUCUUCUGUGCACGAGCUUUUGUUUGUGCUUCUCUUUCUCGUUUGUGUCCUUUCGCCUUUGUGUGUGCUUGCGCGUGUCGGUGUCUUCGUUGAUCAUGCCAUGAUGGGGAUGGCGUCAUCUCUGGCUUGACAUGGACGCACAAGUAUCAUCCCUCUUCCAUGCAAGUGCGCUCCCUUCCUCCUUUUUCGUUGCUUGCUGAGAUUUCGACACCCGUUUCCUUGUUUUCGUGGUACGACUUUUUGCGGUUGUUGUUGUUCAUUGUCUCGCUUCAUGUGCAGCGCGCAGACGACACACACACACACGCACGUACGCACGCAUAGAUGGAAGCGUGCAUAGGAGCCCAAGAGGGUCUAGCCUCCCUGAGCAAGCACACCACUGCGGCAAUGGCUAUAUAUAUAUAUGUACAUAUACAAGGAGGAGACACGCGCGCACGCGCACGUGCCAUCACCAAGGCAAUCAUCACAAGUGCAGCCCAAAGCACACAUGUUGAGAAACAGAAGGAAGGAAAGAAGCCCGGCACCGAAGCGAAGGGGAGAAAACUCCGCCAACGAACUCGCAACACAGACUGACGUCUCUUCGUCUUCGUUCUGGCUCGAACUCGUAACGAAGUGCAAAUUUGUUGACGACGACCUAUCGAAGAACGAAAAAGAGGUAAAAAAUAAUGAAAGCGACUCCGCUCUGCGCGAGCGGAAAAGCGCGGAUAAGAACAGCAACAAAGAAGGGAAAAGGAAAACAGGAAGAAAAAAACCGCGCACAAAACGCAAAGAGGUGCAACACAACGGAGAAGGUGGCAUGAAAAGAGAAACCAAAAUCAGCAAAGGCGAUCCUAAACUAAAACGUAACGUGCAAUCACACGUAAACAGCCCAACCAUUUUUGUGUGAAAAAGCACACUAGAUUCGCACAUGUGUAAUGCGCAGAAGGGUGCGUUGCACAUUCAUGCGCGCAACACACACGCACACACAAAAAGAACGAGCUCUUGCGCCGCCUUUCCGCUUAUGUUGGCAGCACUUCAAAGAAAAGAAACAAAAAGGAAGAGCUGCAUCAUUGUGUCUAGGUGUGUGUCUGUGCGUGAGAGUAAGUGCACAUGUUGGUGUUUUGCUGCGCGGAGUUCGAAGGACAAAGUCGACUUUGCUGGUAUCGGAGGAAAACAAGAAGGUCUCAGAAGACUACAUUUAACUUACGCAAAAGGAAGGGACUUGGCAUGUCGGUGGUGCACAUUCCAGUAUCUCUUUUUUUUUUUCACUGUUUGCUAGUAUUUCUUCUAAGCGACUUAUUUUCCAGUUGAUUGGUGCUCAUUGUUGUUUUUGUGGGCGUGCAUGCGCAGCUGCAUGAGGUUUGAUGGGUCUGCCUCCUUUCUAUUUUCGUGUACUCAUACAAGUGCGUCUGUGUGCGCCUAUCUAUGCUGUGCUUUGGGGACAAAGCCUGCACAGAACACCAACGCAUCCCACACCUCGCCGUGCAGCAGUGAUCACGCCGCUUUCUCAAACGGUGAAGACACACGCAGACGCAGCCACAGUCACCUGCGCAGACUCGCACACGUUCUUCAAUGAUCUUCUCUCGAUAUAGUCGAUUUUCCGACGCUGAGCACCCCCGCUCUUCCUAUUGACUUCUUUGUUAUCUUUAGUCAUUGCUGAUGAUUGCUUGAAGGUUGAUGUUGUGUGCAUGUGUGUCUCUCACUGUGUGUGUGUGUGUGCGUGUGGAUUCGAGUACGUCAGUGAUACACCAUUCCGUCCUUUUUUUUUUCGCACUUGAAUCGCGCCCUUUUUUUUUGCGUCCUUUCUUCUUUUUGCUUUAUUAUUAUUAUUUGAUUUCUGGGUGCGCGCUCACCGUGGUAUCAGGGCCCAGUACACCACACUCUGUGUGAGGAAGCCAAGAGCCUGCAGCCUGCCUCCGCUCAUAAUGGCUGACUUUUGGUAUCGGCAGUCAGGACUGGGCUGGCGCUGUGCCGGUGAGACUUGCGGUCAUGAUCGCAUCUGCCCCAGCUCACUACGAAUCGCCUCCGCGAUUUGACGGAUACACUCAUCAGGGUAAGCCUGCUGAGUCGCUUGCUGUAGAAUAGCACCUUGAAAGAUGUCACUUCGUAUAGCGUCUUGGUUAUUUCGUGCCUCGUAGGAUGCUGUGGAGGAAGGGGCGGAAGGGAAGGUUGCCCUUCCGAAGUCAGGGAAGACGGCGAAACUCGAAAAAAAAUCAAAAGAAGGGGGUGAGCACGUGCGUUGAGAGACACAGUUUUUUUUUUUUUUUUGCUCUGUUCUCUUUUCUCGCGUCAGGCGUGGUCGCUGUUUACCAUGCGAAGAUAACAGAACAUGGUAAGAAAGGAUAGGGCGGGAGAGAAAGCUAGGAGGUGCAGGGGUAAAGUGUUUGACUACUCGGUGUCGUAGUGGUAGAAGGCGACGGCGCUGAUGGCGUCAGACGGUACCAAAAGAAGAAAAGGGCAAGGGGAAACGCAGAGGAAAGCACCACAGAGCAAUCUCUCCCCCGAAGGAAAAAAAGAAAAGAUACAGCUCCGAAGAAAAGUCAUGUAGCGCAUGUAUGACCACACUCGUACGCUAGCGGAAACAGUCACAGGCACGCGAGGAACGGCAAAAGGAAAAGGAGAGAAUCUGCUGAGAAGAGGAACAAUAAAGAUGCCCCUUUUCUUUUUCUUUCCUUUUGUGUUCACCUCUCCCUUCUCCUCUUGCUGUGGUUUCCUUCUUCUUUCGGUAGGUGUUGGUGUCCUUCCGGGGCCUCUCUUACAUUGCGCCUCUCUCUUAAUUGUGACCGAUAAGUAUUCCACCGCUGACGGAAGUUCUUCGCGCGGCGUGUCUUCUUUUUGUUGUUGCUCGUUCCGUUUUCGGGCUUCUCACCCAUUGCCCUCUCCGCCACACCUUAGCACCUGUUAGCCUCUCCUUCCACGUGCCUCUCCCUCACCAUUUUUCGCUCGCUUGCCAUUCUUUUCUUUGUAGUGUUUGGCUUGUUUUCUUUGUACUCCUCGCCCUUUUUGGCUUCUCUCUUCGCUCUUCCGCCCACCCCACUUUCCCUCCGUUGCCUUGCCUUUUUGUAUGCCUGGGUGUGAGCGUGUCUUCCGAGAUCAUCAUUCAUUUACGGCGCACCUUUGUGUUUCCUUUUCUCUAUGUGCAUGUGCUUGUCUUUCGCGUGUGCAUGUGUGUGUUUCACAGUAAUGCGCCGCUGCUUUCUUCCUUUAUAUCUCCCUUUUCUCUUUUCUCUUUUCUGUAUUUCUUUUUUCGUGCAUGUGUUGUUGUCGUUUCCUGCCGUGUUCGAAGAGCCCCCUCUGAGUUUAUAUCGAUGAUGGCUUCUCUUGCUUGUGUGUUUGCGCCCCGCUCCCCUUGCCUCACCUCACCUCACCUCCACCCCGCUUCCCUCCCUCUUGUUGACGUCGAGCAUCUCUCCUCCCUUCAAUGGCUCCUUUGGGGUAUGGGUGCUCUGAAUGAUGUGUUUUGAGGCGAGGUAUGCAUGUGUGUGUGCGUGUCGUGAGAGAGAGUGUGGCGCUACGCACGCGUGACAGGCGUUGGAAAGAUAUGUGGACGGCAUCAGCACCGCAAGGUAGACUGAGGGCGAGUAAGAGGUGGAGAGUCUAUGCAUGUGAAGUGUAGAGAGAAGAAAGCAUGCGCAGGCUACCACCGGCGUUGCCGCCUCUGUCGCUGUUGGGACUGAUAGGCCGAAGAAGGGAUACACGCAUGCGAAAGCAAUCAGGAAGGGCUCACCUAUCGAAAUGUCACGUGUGCGCUUCCUGUUUGCGUUCCGUUGUGCGCGUGUGUGUGGCGGGGGCGUGUGUUUCUGGAUGAUGCUUGCGCUUUACCGCUGUUGCUCUGGUACUGUCGGCGUAGCUUCUCCGCCUUGGCCCCGCGCUCUGCUCCUCACGCCUGUGUUUGAGCACCGCUUCGUGCUGUGCCUUUGAUUUGAGUCUUUUUUCUUUAUACAGCUCUGCUGCUCAUGCCUCCUCCGCUUUGGCAACGGCACCGAAAUCCAUGCCUCAUUCGCUUCUCGACAACCCACCUGUUUUCGCCAUUGCUGCUUCAUGCACCACCGCACCAUCCUCUGUAGGCCCCUCUUUUUCUCUUCCGUGCAUAUCGCUCCCCUGUGUGUUCGUGAACAGCGAUGAAGAUGGACGCGCAAGCCAGGGGCUGCGACAUUGUGGGCUUCUCCCCUUUCCUUGUGUGUGGCAGUUCUUCGGCGUCGCUUUCAGUUUUCACGAGCUGCAUAGCCCCCCCCCUUCUCGAGGUAGUCUGUCUCUUGGGCAUGAGGCAUGCCGUCGCCCAAUCAUGCGUGCCGGGCUCCUCGUUUCUGCCUGUGCGCUCACAUGCGUCCGUCUGCAUGCUCUCGAGCAUCAGUAGCGAGUGUGGAGAGGAGGGCAGGCCGAGUAAGUGCAAUGGACGAGGGCACCGGCGCGCUGAUGGUCUUCGUGGUCUCUGUGGGUGAGGAGUUCGACGGGGGAACGCGACAACCAAUCAACGUCUGUGCACCGCAGAGGUGCACACCGUCGCUAAGAAAGCCGCUGGAUGUGGAGGUGCACCUUUCAACGUGUGAAUCUCUUUGGGCGAAAUGACCAGCGUUUUUCUCCUUUUUUGCCGGAGUUUUCAAAGUUUCCGUUCGGCCAUAUAACCUGUGUCAAACGCCACCCCCGGGCACGUCACAGGCCCCGUCGCCCGGUGCAACGCAGCGGCCGGCACGUGCAUUACGGCAGCGCACCGGCUCGGCCACCUGCGCACGGGCCCUGCCUCGUACUCUACCCACCUCUGCCUCGCAGGUUACCUCACAGCCGCUCCCAUCAUGCCGGCCGCCCCGCCGGUGCAUCUCCCUCGGGGUGGCGCUCCAAGCUCUCCCCCAGUAAGCAGCGAGGGCCGGGCGAGACACGCUUGGGUCACGCUGACACCCUGCCCAUCAUGUGGGUGGUGCAAACGCGCUCGCUGCCGCAGGUCGCUCCGACGCAACGCCAUCUACGACCUGAGCACCGGCAUCAGCAGCCAUGCAUCGCUCUGACUUUCCCACGCCGUAGGUGCCCCUGUCACCACCCGAGGCGGCUCGGCACUGGCAGGGGGAUAGGGGGAUAAGGGGGGCGGCCCGGGGCCAUGAGGAUGCCACGCGUUGCGACGUGCCUCCCGUCAUCAAGGAGCGAACAGCUGGGCGAAAAAAAAAGAGCAACUUACUUGUCGACACAGACGUGUAAAGCCCGUUUCAAUGAACAAUGAGAGUGCGAGGCACCCCUGGGAAUGUCGCAGGCUUCACCGAAUCUAUAUUUCUGCUUUCAUGGGUGCUCUUUUGCUCCUCUUGUGCUUUUAUGCUUUGGUGCUCGGGUGGGUUGAUGAGCAAGACGAUGAGGCGUUGCGGCGCAUGCUCGAAAUUUUUUUUUUCAAUCUUUACCUCUCCUUACUUGUCGUGCGCAGCGCCAUGUCCUUUUCGCAGCUCUCUUUGUAUCCGUCGCCGCAUUUCGUGGUUGCAUUCACGGAUUUCCCUUUUUUUGGCUCGCCUGUACUUUUAGUUUUUCUUUUUGCCUCGCAUCAAUUGAAAACAACACGCACACGCUCAUCUCCAGCCACACGUACUCAGCUCCCUGGGUUUACAAGUGGGCUCAUGGGCUGAGGACUCUCUUUGCUUACAUUUUUGUGUGGUUAUAUGUCUCUCUCUGUUUGUGCGUGUGUGUGUGUGGCUUUCCUUCCCUUUUCUUUCUCUUCUUCCUCCUCCCCUCUUUUCUCUUUAGCUUUCCCCUUUUUUCUCGUGCCAUCGUUGUCAUUUGUUUUUUUUUUCGUGCUUAAUCCACGAACCCAUUUAGUGCCCCGCACGCAAACACGCGCGCCGAUAUGAACCCACAGAGGCAGGCACGUCCACCUGCAAGCACUAAUCCCUGAGCUGCAGAAGUGCUUCUUGUGUUUUUUUUUGUCGUGUGUGGAGGGGGCUCCUGCCUUUUUUUUUUUGCGUGCCUCGUUGAGUUUCCUCCGUUUACGGAUGUGCCUCUGUGUGCACAAGUUCAUAAAAGGUGACAGUUUAAGUGCCUGCUCUCCCUUAUGCCUCGCUGGGUGCCCCUCUCCGUCCGCCCGUCUUCCUUUUUACCUUCUCUCCGUACGCCUUAAGCGCUCCAAUUCUUGUGCGCUCGCCGACGUUGCUAUUCGGGUGCUUGCAACACUGCGUAGCUUGGGUGGUUUGUUUGUGUGCUCCGAGGCGUUGGCGUGUGCGGAGGCGGCCUACUCGCGUCCUCCUUCUAUACCCUCAAGCACACGGGCUCACAUGCAUGUGCCCUUCCUGUGCCGUUGCAUGCCGAGUGACGUAAUCAAUAAAGGAAGAAGGAUGUGGAGCAACAGCGAAUACUAAAGUGAAGCGGUCAGGAAAUGGAACAAGCAUGGCGAACGAAAAAGAUGCAGAUGCGCCCGCCCUCAGGACUCGAGAGUCGACGUGGACGUUUUUCUUUUUCUAUUACUCCUUCGCAUUACACAGGGGUUGCUGGAUGAAAAAGACAGGUGAGGCUGCGUUUUGUGUGUGCGCGUGCUUGCGCUUGUCUGUGAUCGACGUUAUCGUCAUCUAAUCUAUCGCGUGACGUGUACACGUCUCCGCUGUGCCUCCCCCUUUCAUCGCUUCCCGCUCAAAGUAUUUCGUUAGCGUUUAGGUGUGCGCAUCAGCGGCUGUAAGCGUGUGUGUGUGUGUACGUGCGCUUCGCUGGGUGUUGGUAUGCAUCUGUGUUCGAUGGGCUUCCCCUCCCCGCACUUACAAAGGUGAGAGCAUGCAUGUGCUCAGAUGAAUGUGCACACGUUGACACACGUGCGCCACGCGCACGCAGGCACACACAAGCACUGCAGCCGUUCGGAAUGGCUCCCUUUUUUCGUGGUUGUUCGUUUGCCACCUCACCUCUCUCUCCGUGCUUGAGAGAAAUGGAAAGGAAUGACGACAGCAAAACAGUGGGUGGGAGAGGGACGGCGAGAGCCACAAUGAAGCGAAGGGCAUAGAGCGGCCGAAAGCCAAAGCAGAAAAAUGUGGCGGUCGACUGGGCAGUAGCACUGCAUGUCAGAGAAAGGCAGGUGGCAGCUUUGGAUUGACAUGUUCAUUUCUGUGAUCCCCCUCCACACACACGAUCUGUGUAAUGUGUCUGAGCGUACGCGCGUGACGGCCUUUGAUGUUUUCCACCGCUUUUUCUUUCGUUGUCUCUUGGACAUCUUCCGUCUCUCGUCUUCGGUUAUUUUGAUCUUGCCAG